rnacentral:lncRNA from 1 species
GCGCUCUCUUCCACCCAGCAAACAGCGACAGUAGGGACUUCCACAGCACUUCCCCGCCACCCGUUUCAAAAGUAACGACGCAGCAGGCCGUCGGGCCCUUUGCGCAGGCGCGAUGAACCUCUAGGUCCCGCCCCACGGAGCCGGGACUGGCCAGUCCUCUCUGUGCUCGCCUGAGCUGUUUUCUCGCGCAGGCGCAGUGGGUAGGCGUGGUCACGCAUUUCCGGGUACUCACGCUCUGGAGCGUCCCAGUCUGGCUCCUCUAGUGGAAAAUUUCAUGGAAGAACCCAAGACAUUUUCAAAUUGGAGAACCGAUUGGAUGGAUGAGGGGCUGAUUCAACCAUAUUUCCAAAAAGAGACCAAUGAUUGA